CUGGGAACCUGCGGGCGCUUUGCAAAGACGCCCACCCGGGGGCGGAGUUGUGGUGACGCUGCUCUGGGCGUAGCAGGGACCCGGGUCCUAGCUCCGGCUGGGCUCUGCCCCUUCAACGUCCAGUCGCUUGACCUCUCUGUGCCAAGAAUGCUUUCCAGCCGUUCUCCAUUUCCAGGAUGCAUGCAAAUCGAACCUUCGCCCACAGUGAGGCUACAUAAGUUCUAAGUGCUCUUGAGUAGGAGAAACUCAAAACAGCCGCAGGAGACAUAAUAAACGGCUUUGGUAAAUUUAGGAAAUUAUUAACUAAAAGCAUCAGAGGGGCUCUCCCAAUACUGACAUACCUGUGGCUACUUAGUUGCGGUGCUAAGCCUCGCUGAGAGCUCAGACCGGCCACCAAAGUUAGCCCAGCGGGAGAUGCAGUUGCUAGGUACCGCACGCCCGACUCUCUGCGGGGUUCUUAGGUAGGGGCGGGCCGACCUGCUAGCUCCACCCCUCUCGGGCCGCCUUACUAAACUGACCUCUCAGCAGAAGCUUAAAAGGAACACAAGGUUGCCACCUGCUGUUGGCCUGGCGCUUCCCAGGCGGAGCCGGAAGCUGCUGGUAACAUAGCUGGGCAGUAGCCUCUGCCGUCCGCGGUGCCUAGCCCGAUGCAGCCUGGUGGGGUUGGGGGAGUGCCACCAAAACGGGAGGCAGCAAUAGGAAGUAGGGAAUUCAUCAAUCCGGCUAAGUUUAGAGCCCUGCUCCUCCAUCCUAGAUGUGUGGCCUUGAGGGAGCUGUUCGACCUGUUUGAGCUUUGGUUUCCUCUAAUGGAAGGCUCUGGUUUCUGUGGUGGGGACACCAAGGCAGUGCCCUUUGAGAUGCCAAGAAAAGCAGAAGUUGCCUGCCGUGGCAGAGUCCUUGCCAACAGCCUGGAGUCCACUACUCCCAAGAUAGGGAUGAGCAGGUCAAGCAAAUAUCCUGGAGCUUUCAAGCACUCCAUCAACUUUCCUGAAGAAGCCUAUAGGAAGCUGCUGAGAGGGAACCACACAUCCCAACCCCUGGUGGUCCGGGCAGGGAGGCUCCUGCGUGAUCCUGAUUCAGGCUACCCCCACCCAGGUCCAGCUUGAGCUGCUCAUAUUCUCUGCUCUGCCGUUUAAAUAACACUGAAGCUGUUUCCAAGGUCAGUGGGCCUGGCCCUAGGAAAGCUGCAGAAGGAAGUCUUCCAUCCCAAACUGUGGUUUCCACUGGGAGUGGCUCUCUGGCCAUUCUGGGGCCAGAUGAGAGAAGCCAUUUAGGCCAAGAAUAGACGAGGGGAGUGGGGCGUUUCCUCUAGCCUUCCUGGUCCUUUAAGUGUCUGAUGUGGUGUCCGGCUCCCCUCCAUUUCUUCCUCCAGCUGGGCCCGGUGUGAAGUGGGGCCCACCCCAGAACCUUGAGAACCAAAGAUAAAUAAGACAGACUCUGUCCUCAGGCUGCUCGCAGAGGAGGCGGGGAGACAGACACAGAACAGGAAGAAACCCUCUGCUGCAGGGAGAUAAGGGUUCUGCUGGGCUGACCAGGGGGCUGGGCCCUGCAAAAGAGAAGGCUUCAGAAGAGAGGGCAAUGAGCUGACUCUUGCUGGAAGGAUAGGACUUUCCAGGUGGGCGAGGAUGCAGCCGGUACCAAGGCCUGGAGGGGUGGAAAGGGGUGGCGUGUUGGGGGAACUCGGCAGCCAGAGCACACUGCGAGACCACGGGGAAGGUGCAGGUUGAGUCAGGGUCCUGAGCCCCAAAUUCAGUCCCUGUUCUGGGUGAGCACCUGCCAUGUCCAGGUGGUGUCUGGAUUGUCUCAGGUUGGGGGCGGGGGCACCUUCACCCUCCUCACCCAUUCCUUCUGAUGCCGGUUCGUACUACUUUGGGCAGAGCAGCCACAAACCAGGAUGUUUACCCUCCUAGGAGCUGAGUCUGCAGAAUGAAAUCCCAGACUUCUCCAAAAAAGAAACCAGGGUGACAGCUGGCAGCUUCAUGAGCAUCUGAAAUCAUAGGAAACUUUGACCAGAGGGGGGAAGAGGGAGGACACCAGCUGGGUUCCUAGGAUGCUUGGCUUCUAACCCAGAGAUCUCAACCCUGGUGGGAAAAACGUUAAUUAAAAAAAAAAAAAAAAAAAACACUUUAAUAAUUUAUGUAUGUCAUGAGAGUCACCUGUUUCAAAUGUACCAGUCAAUGAUUUUGAGUAAAUGUAUAGCCCUGUGCGGCCAUCCCAACUCAGAACAUUUCCAUCACCCCAGAAAAGAGCUCUCGUGACUCGUUUGCCAUCACCCCGUCUUCCCACGCCCCAGACCCGGGUAACCACUACUCGGCUUUCUAUCUGUAUAGAGUUGCUUUUCCUGGACCUUUCGCAUAACGGAACCAUACAGAAUGCAGUGUUUGCCUCCGUUCCUUUACUUUACGUUCUGUAUUUGAGACUAGCCUUGUCUCUGCACCGAUCGGUAUAGUUCAUUGUUUUUUCCUGCUGAAUGGUCCCCUGCCGCACCUAUACAGCUCGUUCUGUUUAAUCUGUUUACGGGGUGCUGGACCUUUGGGUUGUUCUCCACUUUUUGGCUGUUAGGAAUGGUGCUGCCAUGAACAUCCAUGUGCAAGUGUUGGUGUGAGCGUUUGUUUUCCUGUUUGGGGAGUAGACACCCAGAAGCUGGAUAGCUGUGUAUGUAGUUAAGUGUGUGCUUAACUUUAUGAGAAACUGCCAAAGCCCUUCACUAUGUUACGUCCCUAGCAGCAGCAUGUGAAGGUUCUCAUUUCUCCACGUCCUUGCCGAUGCUUGUUACUAUCAGUCUUUUUUUAUUAUAUCCUGUUGAGGAACUUUUUUAAAAAAACACCCACUGAUGCCUGGGCUUCAGCCCAAACCAAUUAAAUCAGAGUUCUGCGGGGGUGCCUGGCAGGUUCAGACCAUGGAGUGUGUGACUCUGGAUCUCAGGGUCCUGACUUGGGCCCCAUGUUGGGCAUGGAGCCUAUUAAAAAAAAAAAAAAUCAGAGGAGCACCUGGCUGGCUCAGUCAGUUAAGUGUCCAACACUUGAUCUCAGCUCAGGUCUUGA